UAUAAGUGAUGGCGACCGGCGCACGGGUGAGUAACACGUAUCCAACCUGCCGAUAACUCGGGGAUAGCCCUUCGAAAGAAAGAUUAAUGCCCGAUGGUAUAAUAAAACCGCAUGGUUUAAUUAUUAAAGAAUUUCGGUUAUCGAUGGGGAUGCGUUCCAUUAGGCAGUUGGUGAGGUAACGGCUCACCAAACCUUCGAUGGAUAGGGGUUCUGAGAGGAAGGUCCCCCACAUUGGAACUGAGACACGGUCCAA
rnacentral:rRNA from 1 species